UACUCGGUAGCAUAGUUUGCAAUGCACUUGUCCAGCAUACAAGGGUCGAGAGUUCAAAUCUCACCUGAGCUG
rnacentral:tRNA from 1 species